GGGGACGUUACGGAUUCGACAGGGAUGUCUCGGCUUAGGUUGCGCGUCGGAGGUCUCGGCUUCGUCACCAACGGAAGUUAUAUAAUAACUGGCAAAACAAACAAUAACUUAGCUUUCGCAGCUUAGUCUGACGAAACUGCCUAUCUACCCUAUCGCCCAUGUAGCGUAGUUUAGGCUCACUCUCAGUGGGAUACGAUGUUAGGCGCCACCUUAGUCUAACAGAAGAGAUUAUAAGGUUAGCGUGCAGGACGCCUGUUUAUUGGCAUAAUGUUACGUGAACUGUAAAUAAAUAAACUACACGCGUAGAAGCUUAAGUUCUGGAGUUUCUGGACGCGGGUUCGACUCCCGCCGUCUCCAUAU
rnacentral:tmRNA from 1 species